ensembl:snRNA U6 U6 spliceosomal RNA
AUUCUGCAGCACUACAUAUUCUGAAAUUUGAACCACACAGAGAAGAUUAGCAUGAGGCCUGCAUAAGCAUGGCAUGCAAAUUCAUAAAGGGACAUAUGCUUAAUUUUU